CAGGACACUGAGUCAGGAUGAGUGGCACAGUGGGUAUCAAAGGGGCAGAGCAAGGUCCCCCUCCUCACUUCUCAGCUCACACGUGGAGCCCUGGUAAGGCCCAUGGGUAGGCGGUGCGGUUGACUACAGGGCUGGCCGAGCAUUCAGCAUUGGAAAGGCAGCCAAAAACAGCAGGAGGGUGGAAGAGUUUGGAAAGGGAGGCGCAUCUUUAGCUGGCUGUCUGCUUGCAAGGCAAAACCAAACUGUUUUAAAUUGACUGAAUCGCAGCAUUCUACAGAAAGUGAAUGAUCUUGGUAAGACACCAGACAGUAUUUCACAGGAUUUUGAGAUGACGAGAGCAAAAAGGAAGAAAAAUGGUGAAAAGAGCAAGAUGGUAUAAGAAGGAAAGACGACCUGUGAGAAACAAGAUGAUGUUAAUUGGGCUGUGGUAAUGUCUGACUGGAUAUCCUGCCUGGAGGUGAUUUGAAAAAGGCAAAUGCCGUGUGCUUUUUUUUUACUUAACGCUGGAAUGUCAGCCUUCCCAUAUAAAUUAUGGAGGUUGCUCUUGUCUCAGUGACAUAACUAUUUCUUUAACAUGUGUUCUAGGAUAAAUACCAACAGAGCUAUCAAGAACAAGGACUGUGUGACUUCACAACAAAGAAAAUAAUCUAUGAGCCUUAUCGCUUUGGCCCUGUAAAAGCCCAUUGGUAGCCAGCCAGGUUUAAAGAUGUCACCAUCAUGCUUGCUACUUCCACUUAGCUCUACAGAGCUCUGCCUGGCAUCUUUUCAAAACAAAUCUUGGAAAGCACACAGACAAAUGUUUUCUUUCUGGAACCCUCUGGGUCCUCCUGACUACACAGUGGCUGCCAACUGCUGCUAACAGGGUUCUUGCUUUUUUCUAAAUUUCCUUUUUAUUUUGCGCAUUUUAAGAAUAAUUUUCCUCUCCCAAAAGGACCUUCCUCUGUCCAUCUCAGCCCCAGCUGGCGGGAAGUGGCACAGGGAAGGGGAGGUGUUGGGACAGGGGUAGCAAAUGUAGUUCCCAUGGCUCAGGGUGAUUGUUGAAGGAUAGUGCCUAAGGUGCUGACAAUGCAUAAAACUCAAAGUCCUUGAGCUUAAGCAAGUUGAUAAGCAGUGAACAUGGCAAGACGAAAUAAGCAAGGAAGAGCAGUGACUGAAGAUGCAGAAGGCUGCUUUUUGUAAUGAGAGUGUCAUGAGGAAGGGAAGAAGUUUCAGCCUGGGAGAAGUCCUAUCCCUGCUGCCUGGAAGGUAGACAGCCAAAGGACCAUUUUCCCAUGGGGCAGCAGCCCUGAGAAGAGUCCAAUACGGGAGAACCUGUUGGGCAGUGGGUCCAUGGGCACCUCCAUGAACCUGAGGGGUGGUCAGCAACACUUUGGAUUUGUGGACCCAGGGCUGGGAGGAUGGAUGCAGUGACUGGGUGGUUGGGGCUGCCACAAAAGCCCCCUUGUUCUUCCCUCUGUGGGCUUUUGGUUGUGACCAGGCCUGGUAGUAGUCACCUUCCAAUCUGCUUGGGAAAUGCCAGGCGUACAGGAGAGCACUGGCUGAAGCCUGGAAAAGGAUCCUGGGGAGAAACAGGGAACACUAACAAAAUGGCAGGAGCUACCGUGUUUUGUAAGUUUUAAAUAAAGUUUUUUAAAUAAAGGAUCCAUUUUAAUCCUACUGGCCUCUUGCCUGCCUUCUUCAUUCAAAAUAAAACACACUCUCCAGAAAAUGGUUUUACAUAGCCCAGCCAAGUUUCUGGUAGAGCACAGACCCAGACAUCCAUAAUUCAUGAGCAAGGAAGGGUGUGGAUAUUUUGUGGGAACCGGACUCUCUGUGAACAAGAUCAUUUUCAUUUGCUGAUUAUGCUGUAUAAACAAUGUGCUUUUAGGAUUCAGAGGAAGAGAACUGUGCAUCUAGCAAAAUCAAACUGCUGAUUAGCAAGGAAACUAUGUUAACAUGAAGCCUUCAAGUUAACAAUUAAAGAUUAGAAGGAGGAGGAUUCAGUCCUUCAGAUUUUGCUUCACUAAGUUUUAAUUUCUAUUACAUCUCUGUUACCUUCUGAGGAACCCAAAUACUGUCCAGGCUGCAAAAUACUUGCACUUUUCAUUGUCAUUGGUUAG